GCCCUCGUAGUUUAGCUUGGAUAGAAUAAGAGCUUGCGGAGCUUUUGACGGCAGUUCAAAUCCGCCCGAGGGCA
rnacentral:tRNA from 1 species